UACGGGGGGGGUAAGCGUUGUUCGGAAUUACUGGGCGUAAAGAGCGCGCAGGCGGCUGGUCAAGUCCGAUGUGAAAGCUCCCGGCUUAACUGGGAAAUUGCAUCGGAAACUGAUCGGCUGGAAGGUGGGAGAGGGUAGCGGAAUUCCCGGUGUAGUGGUGAAAUGCGUAGAUAUCGGGAGGAACACCAGUGGCGAAAGCGGCUACCUGGCCCAUUCUUGACGCUGAGGCGCGAAAGCUAGGGGAGCAAACGGG
rnacentral:rRNA from 1 species